rnacentral:lncRNA from 1 species
UGGGACUGUCACAUUGCUGUUCUAUCUCCCUUCCCAACCAAAUAUGAGCAAAUCACCCCCAUUUAACCCUUCCUGUGCUGGUUCCCCAGUUGCAGGCUACAAGUCAGUCCUGCCUCAUUGUGCAAUCAGAGCUGACCACAGCUGCUGCCAGGGGACAAAACGUUCCCCAAGUCCCUCAGCUGUAGGGUUGCUCAAACUGCACCUGAGCAGCAUAAUGCCUGAGUUCUCACUCAAUUUAUUUGAGGAACUUAGAGCCACUGAGAAUUUAGACAUGAAUCAAGAAACCACAAAUACAAAGCUCAACAUUGAAGCUGAAACAAAUGUACGAGACAUGAGAAGUAGUAUCUCCCUGUUUUGUGGAUUUGCCUUGGAAGCCCUAACAUCAAGAAGAGAGGAAACUUCAAAUACUUCUUGGAGUUUGCUAGUGUUUUGGCCUCAGUUGCUUUAACUAAUGGAAAAUUUGGAUGUUACAGUUUGAGUGUGGGUAAAGUAGAGAGAGUUCAUAGCUUUAGCCUAUGCUUCAAGUGCAGCUCGCAAUCACCUAUGGAAAAGGUGAAUAAGGAUCACCUCUUCGUUUCAUGUAGGCAGCAUCUUAAAGUCAAGCCAUCUAGAGCUGUGCUUUUGAAAAUGUGAUGAAGAUAAACUCACGACAACUGCCAAGUAUUUUAUCUUCUUUCACCGCAGUAAAACUCUGUUCAGUGUGUUUGAAUCAAAGUCUUCUGUAUUCACUCCACGUCUACCGCUACACAUACAAUAAGAGCCAAGGCUAAGGUGUCAGAAAAGAUCUUCAGGCUUCCAAGGAAUUUGUGUAUUGCCCUUGCUUAGAAAUUUGGUUGUGCUUUAUCACAUGAUUCUGUGCCAUAGUGCAGAACUGCUUGGUUUUGCUUGGUUUUGUUGCUGUUUCUUUCUUUUUUUUGUGUUUAUUUGAAAGUCCUGACAUCUGCAGCUUAUAGGGGAAAGUUACAAUGCAAUUCAAGCAGAUUUGGCCAUCAGGAUUAAAGAGUUUAAAAAAAAAAGAAAAGCAAAUUUUGUAAUGAAUUUCAUGCACCAUCAUUUUGUGGAAG